GACGAACCGUGCGAACGUUGUUCGGAUUCACUGGGCUUAAAGGGCGCGUAGGCGGACGGUCAAGUCGGGGGUGAAAUCUUUCCGCUCAACGGGAAAAGUGCCCCCGAUACUGAUCGUCUCGAGGGGGGUAGGGGCAUGUGGAACUUCCGGUGGAGCGGUGAAAUGCGUAGAUAUCGGAAGGAACGCCGGUGGCGAAAGCGACGUGCUGGACCCCUUCUGACGCUGAGGCGCGAAAGCCAGGGGAGCGAACGGG
rnacentral:rRNA from 1 species